rnacentral:rRNA from 1 species
CAGGACGAACGCUGGCGGCGUGCCUAAUACAUGCAAGUCAGGGGCAGCACAAGGAGCAAUCUGAGGUGGCGACCGGCGCACGGGUGAGUAACACGUAUGCAACCUGCCUGUAAGCGGGGAAUAACCCGUUGAAAGACGGACUAAUACCGCAUAAUACUAAAUUACUGCAUGGUAAUUUAUUUAAACAUUUAUGGCUUACAGAUGGGCAUGCGCAUGAUUAGCUAGUUGGAGAGGUAACGGCUCCCCAAGGCAACGAUCAUUAGGGGUCCUGAGAGGAAGGUCCCCCCACACUGGUACUGAGACACGGACCAGACUCCUACGGGAGGCAGCAGUGAGGAAUAUUGGUCAAUGGACGAGAGUCUGAACCAGCCAAGUCGCGUGCAGGAAGAAUUGUCCUAUGGAUUGUAAACUGCUUUUGCAGGGGAAUAAAGUGCAUCACGUGUGAUGUUUUGUAUGUACUCUGCGAAUAAGGAUCGGCUAACUCCGUGCCAGCCGCCGC